AAGCCCUUUUUCUGGUAGUUG
rnacentral:miRNA from 1 species